UUCAAGGGGAGUAACAGUGCGUGAACCGCUCAGAGGUAACGGGUGGAGUUGAACUGCAAGCUCUGAGAAUUCAGCUGAUGAGUGUGGUUUGAGCUUGGUCAAAUUGGUUGGACUGCGGGGUCUGCGUAGCAGCAGGUCUUUGCCUUCGGGUAGAGAUGCGCGUUGCACUUGUCAAGUGCUGUGCGCCCCGUUUGUUCUUCGGCCUGCUUGUCAGUGCACUUUCUCAGAGUAGUCACCACGACCGGCACUGCCGUUGGGCUGCUUUGGUUAAACCGUUCUCGCAUCGCCUUCGUGGCUUUGCUUGAUCGGGAUGGCAGGUAGCUCGUUGACUUGUUUGUGGCUUGCUGCAAACGUCCGGUCUUCGAGUGUAAUCAGCUGACCUUAGUGGUUCUGUGCGGUGUGUCGGAGACGGCGGCUUGUGGUGUGUGCAUGCGUGCCUAUCCUAUGGACCUGUCCGAGUUUGGUUGUUAUGUUGCCUGUUCAAGCAGGCCUAAUGAUGGCUCGGAUUUGUUCUGUGGGUGGUUGCGUGUGUGACACUAAACCAAGGGCCAACAGUCUGUGGUGUAGUGGUAGACGAUCCACCUGACCCGUCUUGCCUGAGAAAAAAAAAAAC
rnacentral:rRNA from 1 species